AGUUGGUGAGGUAACGGCUCACCAAGGCGAUGACGGGUACGGGGCCUGAGAGGGUGUUCCCGCACACUGGGACUGAGACACUGCCCAGACUCCUACGGGAGGCUGCAGUCGAGAAUCUUUGGCAAUGGGCGCAAGCCUGACCAAGCGACGCCGCGUGGAGGAUGAAGGCCUUCGGGUUGUAAACUCCCGUUGGGGGGCAGGAUGGGAGAGAGUGCUAAUAUCAUUCUCUUCUGACUUCAACCCCUGAGGAAGCCUCGGCUAACUCCGUGCCAGCAGCCGCGGUAAGACGGAGGUGGCAAGCGUUGUUCGGAAUCACUGGGCUUAAAGGGCACGUAGGCGGCUGGGUAUGUCCGGUGUGAAAUCCCACGGCUCAACCGUGGAACUGCGUCGGAAACUACCCGGCUCGAGGGCAGGAGAGGAGAGUGGAACUCCUGGUGUAGCGGUGAAAUGCGUAGAUAUCAGGAGGAACGCCGGAGGCGAAAGCGACUCUCUGGACUGUCCCUGACGCUGUGGUGCGAAAGCCAGGGGAGCGAACGGGAUUAGAUACCCCGGUAGUCCUGGCUGUAAACGAUGGGCACUGAGUGGGGGGGGUUCCGAUGCCACCCCUGCUGAAGCAAAAGUGUUAAGUGCCCCGCCUGGGAACUACGGCCGCAAGGCUAAAACUCAAGGUAAUUGACGGGGGCUCACACAAGCGGUGGAGCAUGUUGUUUAAUUCGAGGCAACGCGAAGAACCUUACCUGGGCUUGACAUGCACGGAUUAACCCGGUGAAAGCCGGGCCACACCCGCAAGGGUGGAACGUGCACAGGUGUUGCAUGGCUGUCGUCAGCUCGUGCCGUGAGGUGUUGGGUUAAGUCCCCUAACGAGCGAAACCCUUGCCCCUAGUUGCCACCAGUUCGGCUGGGCACUCUAGGGGGACUGCCGCCGUCAAGGCGGAGGAAGGUGGGGAUGACGUCAAGUCAUCAUGGCCCCUAUGUCCAGGGCGACUAACGUGCUACAAUGGCCGGUACAGAGGGACGCAAGGCCGCAAGGCGGAGCAAAUCCCACAAAGCCGGUCCCAGUUCGGAUUGGGGGCUGCAAUUCGCCCCCAUGAAGCCGGAAUCGCUAGUAACCGCAGAUCAGCCAUGCUGCGGUGAAUAUGUUCCUGAGCCUUGUACACACCGCCCGUCAAGCCACCCGAGUGGGGGGCGCCCGAAGUCGCGAAUCUAAC
rnacentral:rRNA from 1 species